rnacentral:rRNA from 1 species
ACUGAACGCUGGCGGCAGGCCUAACACAUGCAAGUCGAACGGUAACAGGAAGAAGCUUGCUUCUUUGCUGAAGAGUGGCGGAAGGGUGAGUAAUGUCUGGGAAACUGUCUGAUGGAGGGGGAUAACUACUGGAAACGGCAGCUAAUACCGCAUAACGUCGCAAGACCAAAGAGGGGGACCUUCGGGCCUCUUGCCCUCGGUUGUGCCCAGAGGGGAAUAGCAUGAUGGUGGGGUAACGGCUCACCAAGGCGACGAUCCCUAGCUGGUCUGAGAGCAUGACCAGCCUCACUAGAACGGCGACCCGAACCAGACACCUAAGCAGAGCCGCAGUGGGUGAUAUUGCGCAACGGGCGCAAACCUGGUGCAGCCAUACCGCGUGUAUGAGGACGGCCUUCAGGUUGUGAAGUAGUCUCAGCGGGGAUAAAAGGAGUAAAGCUAUUACCUUCACUCAUUGACGUUACCCGCAGAAGAAGCACCGGCUAACUACGUG